rnacentral:rRNA from 1 species
AACUUCCGUUAAUUGAUUAUGACGUGCUUGCACUGAAUGAGAUUUUAACACGAAGUGAGUGGCGGACGGGUGAGUAACACGUGGGUAACCUGCCCAGAAGCAGGGGAUAACACCUGGAAACAGAUGCUAAUACCGUAUAACAGAGAAAACCGCCUGGUUUUCUUUUAAAAGAUGGCUCUGCUAUCACUUCUGGAUGGACCCGCGGCGCAUUAGCUAGUUGGUGAGGUAACGGCUCACCAAGGCGAUGAUGCGUAGCCGACCUGAGAGGGUAAUCGGCCACAUUGGGACUGAGACACGGCCCAGACUCCUACGGGAGGCAGCAGUAGGGAAUCUUCCACAAUGGACGCAAGUCUGAUGGAGCAACGCCGCGUGAGUGAAGAAGGGUUUCGGCUCGUAAAGCUCUGUUGUUAAAGAAGAACGUGGGUGAGAGUAACUGUUCACCCAGUGACGGUAUUUAACCAGAAAGCCACGGCUAACUACGUGCCAGCAGCCGCGGUAAUACGUAGGUGGCAAGCGUUAUCCGGAUUUAUUGGGCGUAAAGCGAGCGCAGGCGGUCUUUUAAGUCUAAUGUGAAAGCCUUCGGCUCAACCGAAGAAGUGCAUUGGAAACUGGGAGACUUGAGUGCAGAAGAGGACAGUGGAACUCCAUGUGUAGCGGUGAAAUGAGUAGAUAUAUGGAAGAACACCAGUGGCGAAGGCGGCUGUCUGGUCUGUAACUGACGCUGAGGCUCGAAAGCAUGGGUAGCGAACAGGAUUAGAUACCCUGGUAGUCCAUGCCGUAAACGAUGAUUACUAAGUGUUGGAGGGUUUCCGCCCUUCAGUGCUGCAGCUAACGCAUUAAGUAAUCCGCCUGGGGAGUACGACCGCAAGGUUGAAACUCAAAAGAAUUGACGGGGGCCCGCACAAGCGGUGGAGCAUGUGGUUUAAUUCGAAGCUACGCGAAGAACCUUACCAGGUCUUGACAUCUUCUGCCAACCUAAGAGAUUAGGCGUUCCCUUCGGGGACAGAAUGACAGGUGGUGCAUGGUUGUCGUCAGCUCGUGUCGUGAGAUGUUGGGUUAAGUCCCGCAACGAGCGCAACCCUUAUUACUAGUUGCCAGCAUUCAGUUGGGCACUCUAGUGAGACUGCCGGUGACAAACCGGAGGAAGGUGGGGACGACGUCAAAUCAUCAUGCCCCUUAUGACCUGGGCUACACACGUGCUACAAUGGAUGGUACAACGAGUUGCGAAACCGCGAGGUUUAGCUAAUCUCUUAAAACCAUUCUCAGUUCGGACUGUAGGCUGCAACUCGCCUACACGAAGUCGGAAUCGCUAGUAAUCGCGGAUCAGCAUGCCGCGGUGAAUACGUUCCCGGGCCUUGUACACACCGCCCGUCACACCAUGAGAGUUUG